CAAGUACUCCCUCCGUUCCGAAUUACUUGUCUCACAUAUGGAUGUAUCUAGAUGUAUUUUAGUUCUAGAUACAUCCAUUUCAGCGACGAGUAAUUUGGAACGGAGGGAGUAGCAG
rnacentral:pre_miRNA from 1 species